AGUAGACUAGGUUAAUAGAGAUCGUCUGUUUUCAAAAUAGAAGGUUGCUUUGGGGUUGUCUGCUG
rnacentral:tRNA from 1 species